rnacentral:rRNA from 1 species
GACGAACGCUGGCGGCGUGCUUAACACAUGCAAGUCGAACGGAAAGGCCCUGCUUUUGUGGGGUGCUCGAGUGGCGAACGGGUGAGUAACACGUGAGUAACCUGCCCUUGACUUUGGGAUAACUUCAGGAAACUGGGGCUAAUACCGGAUAGGAGCUCCUGCUGCAUGGUGGGGGUUGGAAAGUUUCGGCGGUUGGGGAUGGACUCGCGGCUUAUCAGCUUGUUGGUGGGGUAGUGGCUUACCAAGGCUUUGACGGGUAGCCGGCCUGAGAGGGUGACCGGCCACAUUGGGACUGAGAUACGGCCCAGACUCCUACGGGAGGCAGCAGUGGGGAAUAUUGCACAAUGGGCGGAAGCCUGGUGCAGCAACGCCGCGUGCGGGAUGACGGCCUUCGGGUUGUAAACCGCUUUCGCCUGCGACGAAGCGUGAGUGACGGUAAUGGGUAAAGAAGCACCGGCUAACUACGUG